AUUGAACGCUGGCGGCAUGCUUUACACAUGCAAGUCGAACGGUAACAGGCCGCAAGGUGCUGACGAGUGGCGAACGGGUGAGUAAUGCAUCGGAACGUGCCCAGUCGUGGGGGAUAACGCAGCGAAAGCUGCGCUAAUACCGCAUACGAUCUGUGGAUGAAAGCGGGGGACCGAAAGGCCUCGCGCGAUUGGAGCGGCCGAUGUCAGAUUAGGUAGUUGGUGGGGUAAAGGCCCACCAAGCCAACGAUCUGUAGCUGGUCUGAGAGGACGACCCGCCAGACUGGGACUGGGACACGGCCCAGACUCCUACGGGAGGCAGCAGUGGGGAAUUUUGGACAAUGGGCGCAAGCCUGAUCCAGAAAUGCCGCGUGCAGGAAGAAGGCCUUCGGGUUGUAAACUGCUUUUGUACGGAACGAAACGGCUCUGGUUAAUACCUGGGGCUAAUGACGGUACCGUAAGAAUAAGCACCGGCUAACUACGUGCCAGCCGCCGCCGUAAUAC
rnacentral:rRNA from 1 species